UACGUAGGGUGCGAGCGUUGUCCGGAAUUAUUGGGCGUAAAGAGCUCGUAGGCGGUGUGUCACGUCGGCCGUGAAAACCUGCAGCUUAACUGUGGGCGUGCGGUCGAUACGGGCAUCACUGGAGUUCGGCAGGGGAGACUGGAAUUCCUGGUGUAGCGGUGAAAUGCGCAGAUAUCAGGAGGAACACCGGUGGCGAAGGCGGGUCUCUGGGCCGAUACUGACGCUGAGGAGCGAAAGCAUGGGGGAGCGAACAGG
rnacentral:rRNA from 1 species